rnacentral:rRNA from 1 species
UACGGAGGUUGCAAGCGUUGUUCGGAAUAACUGGGCGUAAAGCGGACGCAGGCGGCUAAGUCAGUCUGAAGUGAAAUCCCGGGGCUCAACCUCGGAAUGGCUUCGGAUACUGCUUGGCUUGAGUACGUGAGAGGAGAGUGGAAUUCCUGGUGUAGCGGUGAAAUGCGUAGAUAUCAGGAGGAACACCAAUGGCGAAAGCAACUCUCUGGCACGUUACUGACGCUGAGGUCCGAAAGCGUGGGGAGCGAACAGG